rnacentral:rRNA from 1 species
CCUACGGGUGGCAGCAGUGGGGGAUAUUGCACAAUGGGGGGAACCCUGAUGCAGUGACGCCGCGUGGGUGAAGGAGUGCUUCGGCAUGUAAAGCCCUAUCGGCAGGGAAGAAGCAAGACGGUACCUGACUAAGAAGCCCCGGCUAACUACGUGCCAGCAGCCGCGGUAAUACGUAGGGGGCGAGCGUUAUCCGGAUUCACUGGGUGUAAAGGGAGCGUAGACGGCCAUGCAAGCCAGGGGUGAAAGCCCGGGGCCCAACCCCGGGACUGCCCUUGGAACUGCAUGGCUAGAGUGCGGGAGGGGCAGGCGGAAUUCCUGGUGUAGCGGUGAAAUGCGUAGAUAUCAGGAGGAACACCGGCGGCGAAGGCGGCCUGCUGGACUGCGACUGACGUUGAGGCUCGAAAGCGUGGGGAGCGAACAGGAUUAGAUACCCCAGUAGUC